AUGGAGUUCUACGAUGACGAGAAGUGGAAGUUCUCCAAGAAGAGCCGGAACAACGGCAGCUGCAGGCGCGUCUCCAGCGGGGGCGGCGGCGGCGACCCGUUCCUCAAGAGGUCAGCCAGCACAAGGGACCAGGCGAUCGGCCGGCGGGGGAGCGCCGCCGCCGCGGCCGCCUCGGCGAGCGGGUGCGCGGCGCCUUCGUUCUCGAGCCGGUGCGCCGGGCUGGUGAAGGAGCAGCGGGCGCGCUUCUACAUCAUGCGCCGCUGCGUCACCAUGCUCGUCUGCUGGAAGGACUGCUCGUAG
rnacentral:rRNA from 1 species